AGAAUUCGAAAAAACAUCAUUAUUCUUCCAACCGUCCAGUCCACCAACUGUCAGCAUGCAAUGGAAAUCAGGCGAUUUCGUAAGGUGUGAUCCCCAAAACAGACGGUGGAAUCUGCCUGCCUUCAUGGAAGUAUCACAAGCUUUUUCUAGCUAUCUGUUCAAAAAAUAAACUGCAAAAUAAAUAAAUGUCGAACUG